rnacentral:lncRNA from 1 species
GAAAAAUCGUAUCAUCAAAAUCUCGAUGAAUCGUACUAAGAGCAUUUUGAUCCUCCUCUUAGUUGCUUGUUUCAAAUCUCUUUGUGCUUUAAACAUGCCUUCUUCAUUUUGAGGUGUGGAACCUCUAUGUGACAAGUCCCACAAAUCUUGACUUUCAAGAUAUGCCUUCAUUCAAAUAUUCCGCGUACUACAUUAUCAUUAGUGCACGAGGAAUGAAAAAGAAUUAUUGUUUGUCAUUUCUUCUUUUCGCACUCUUACAACCUCGCUUUAAAGCUAUUUUUAUUGAAAAAUUGGAGAUGGAACAAUAACUUCUAGAAGAGAAGAAAAUAAUAUUCAAGAGAACAGUCAACUUUAUUUCCGUAACACACCAAAAAUGAAUCAUGCAACAACUUUGGACGAGAAGAUAAUAUUUAAGAGAAUACUCAACUUUUAUAGGCUUCACAAAGUACGAAUUUAAUCUAAUAUAUGUACUAGUUAUCGAGCCCUUAUUUGAUCCCAUUAUUCAAUAAUUUAUUUUUUCUCAUAUUCAGUUAAACCAUACAUUUUAUGGAUAAAAUAAUUUGUGCAUAAACAAAAUUUUUCUUUAUUUUUUAACUACACAUUCUCCAAAAAAAUCACUAUUAUAAAAUUCAUUUUAACAUAAAAAUGGGACUCAAACAAUGGCUAAAUGUGAACUAACAGUUAAAAAAAUUCGUUUAUCUUCCAAGUACAUGACUAAACUAAUUUAUUAAAGUACGCAUGCAUUAUCCCAAAAGACGUGAAUAAACUUAACUAAAU